rnacentral:rRNA from 1 species
UAUUUACCGGCAUCGGAUUAUGAUCAAAUAUUUAUAGGAUAUGGAUGGGCUCGCGUGACAUUAGCUAGUUGGAGGGGUAACGGCCCACCAAGGCUACGAUGUCUAGGGGCUCUGAGAGGAGAAUCCCCCACACUGGUACUGAGACACGGACCAGACUCCUACGGGAGGCAGCAGUAAGGAAUAUUGGUCAAUGGAGGGAACUCUGAACCAGCCAUGCCGCGUGCAGGAUGACUGCCCUAUGGGUUGUAAACUGCUUUUGUCAGGGAAUAAACCUUUCCACGUGUGGGAAGCUGAAUGUACCUGAAGAAUAAGGAUCGGCUAACUCCGUGCCAGCAGCCGCGGUAAUACGGAGGAUCCAAGCGUUAUCCGGAUUUAUUGGGUUUAAAGGGUGCGUAGGCGGUCCUAUAAGUCAGUGGUGAAAGACGGCAGCUUAACUGUCGCAGUGCCUUUGAUACUGUAGGACUUGAAUCUAUUUGAAGUGGGCGGAAUAAGACAAGUAGCGGUGAAAUGCAUAGAUAUGUCUUAGAACUCCGAUUGCGAAGGCAGCUCACUAAGUUAGUAUUGACGCUGAUGCACGAAAGCGUGGGGAUCAAACAGGAUUAGAUACCCUGGUAGUCCACGCCCUAAACGAUGAUAACUCGAUGUUUGCGAUACACAGUAAGCGUCCAAGCGAAAGCGUUAAGUUAUCCACCUGGGGAGUACGGUCGCAAGAUUGAAACUCAAAGGAAUUGACGGGGGCCCGCACAAGCGGAGGAGCAUGUGGUUUAAUUCGAUGAUACGCGAGGAACCUUACCCGGGCUUGAAAGUUAGUGAAUGAUCCAGAGACGGAUCAGUCCUUCGGGACACGAAACUAGGUGCUGCAUGGCUGUCGUCAGC